AGAUCCUUCCGCUUCCGGGUAACGGCUGGCGGGGGGACCCGGCGUGCUUCAGCCGUCCUCUGCCCGGCCGGCGGCUCCGCGGGAAGGGAGGGCAGCGCAGCCCUGUGCCCAGCCGCUCCCUUCGGCCGGGCCCCGGCGCUUUCCCGAGUGGAGCCGCAGGGCGGUGCGCUGGGGGACGCGCCGGCCCCUUGGCGGUGCGGGCGGGGGCCGGGGCGGGAGCCGAGCAGUGCUGCUGGCGAAUGGAGCGCGGGGAGAGCGGGGCUGCCCGGGGCGGCGGGGGGAGGCGCUCCGCCCGGGGCGGGGGCUGCCCGUGCCGAGCCGAGCUCCGCGGCGGCGCAGCGCGGACGGGCGCGUGCGAGGCGCGGGGCAGAAGCGUGCGUGCCCGCCUGCGUCCGCUCGCCGGGACGGAGGCGGCGGUUUGUGCCCCCGAGAAACCAGCCGUUCUGCGCGUGCCCUGGUUUUAGCGCCAGGCGAGGAGAGCCGAGUGACCGGUGGCUUUGUGCGGGCUGGCCCGUCGCCGGAGCGGCUGGCGGGGCCGGCAGCAAGGCGGGGGGCUGGCAGCGGGGGCGGGCGGGCCGGCCCUGCGCCCGGGGGUACCGGCGACCCGCGGAGCGGCCGGGUGCGCGGCCAGCCGCGCCUGGGCGGGCGCCGCCGCCUUAGCGAGAGCUCGGAGCGGAGCGCGGAGGUCUCCUGCGGCCAGGCCCGUGCGAUAAUGAUUUAAAUCAUCUGUUCAGAAGAAAUAUUAAUGGGACUCCCAUAAGACUCCUGACACUUUGCUGAUGUUCCUGUUAGAAGACCUAUCACCUCAUUUUGAAGGCAGCAGUGAAAGCGCCAGUAUUCAAACAACAGGACUUAGAUGCUCACAGUUAGUCACAAAUUGCAUUACUUCCAGGCAUUCCGCUGCUGAACGGAAUUACUAGGUAUGCAUUGGUAGUUUGAGGUUCUUACACAGUGCACAAGAAGGCAGACAUCUAAGAAUGAUACUGUCAGCAGAAAGUUGUUUUUAAAAAGGGGAGGGCUAAAUUAGCUGGUGGGAAAGAUCAGAAGAAAAGUCUCAUUUCAGCUUAUCAGAACAGGACACCUCUUUGUGCCCCAGUCAGAUAUCUGUGUGCCUUUCUGACUUGUGAUAGCGCUUGAAAAUGAAGUCCCUAAUUGUGCCUUAACAAUUGAGCUCUACUUAAGUGGUUUAUUUUCCCUUUAAGCUUUUUAGUGGGAUGGCUUGAGCUCCAGUUGUUCUGCAUGCCAGGUAAAUAAUUUCAGCAUGCCAUCAAGGCAACAUCUGGCAGCAUCAACAUAUCCUCAGUUUCGAUAGCAUUAAGAAUGCUUAAAAUGUACCUACCGUUCUGGACUGCACAGUUAAACUUUGUGUAGGAUGCCUAAAUUGUGAACACUGAAGAAAUGUCUGUGAAAAGAUCCUGGUUAUUUUGAAGAUGUGCUAGUCUGAAAAGGUUGUGCAACAAGCAGCAGAAAUGUAGAAGUGCUAGGGGGGGUUUUACUGGUAUAGAAGCUCAGGUCCCGUGGGAGGUUGAUGCUUUGAAAUCUGAACUAUAUCUAACCUCCUGUUCUGGAUCUGACUUGGAGAUCUGUAAGCAAGUCUGUUUCUGAACUAGAUGGGUAGUUAAAUAAUAUUUAUAGAUUUACAGCGUAUUCCCAAGUGGGUGUUUCUGUUGGCUUUAUAAUACAACAGUCCAUUUCAUAAAUGACAGAGGUGAAGCAUACAUACAAAAUUAUGUAAGGUUGGUUUAACUGAUGGGUGAUCCACAUGAUUGAAGGCAGUUGUUUGACUUAGAUUGUGUCAGGAUGCCUUUGGCAGAGGUCAUUCUAAUAAUCAAAGGAAAAGUGUCUGAGCCCCACAUCUAACAAACAUAAUAGAAGAUCAUGUUCAAGCUUGAAUGCGGGCCUUUAAGUAAGAUGCUCUUUAGACUUCAGGCUUGCUUCUUAAUGACACUGACCUCAAUAUGUGCCUCUUUGUAGUAACACUCUGCUUUGUGACUUGUGAAGCUGUCCUGGGACAAGGACCCUCUAGUAUGGCCUUUGUAAUAGAGGAGUAGAAUUAUUCCUUGGGAUAAGUAAGCUUCUUGAAACUAUUCUGCCUGACUAGAGUCUGUUGGACCCUUGGGCGUUAUUUGCAGAUGGUAGUGGUGCUUGAGUCUUUCACUGUUACAGAGGAAGCAUAAUCUUAUAUACAUCUGACUUAUGAGAAAUGUUACCUCUAAUGACAACACCUCUUGCCUCUUCACCCAGGAAUUAGGAAUGCCAAAAUCUUUCAUGGGUCUGAGAAAAGACUGGGCAAACUCAAGAAAGUAAAAUUGGUCUGCUAAAUACAAAGAUGUUGUUGGAUUGAGUUUUGAGCCAUAGAAAACUAGGGACUGGCAUUAUAACUAUGUGCAUGUCCUGUUCUUUGCUUCCUGCACAUUCACUUUUGACCAGAGUUGCAGAAACUGGGUCCUGAGUUUCUGAUUUAACUUGGUAUGGUAAUUUGUACAAAUUGUAAUUUACUUAAAAUGCUGGAAGUGUCUUCUGGUCUUUCAUAAUUGUGGGGGAAAUCCGAGGGCACUCUCUGCCUUUAAGAUUCUUGUGCCCCAGUUAAAUUCUACUGGCAUACUCCGGGUGUAGCUACGAUGGCAGGAGUGUUUUUGUUGGCCUUAGCUUGUUUUAAGAACGUGCUGCUGCAGUGAGGCAAGAAAAGCUCCCAUGAGCAUGUAUUUCGUGUCCACGAGGGGGCUCUGACAGCUCUGGUCUGGUGGUUGGUGAUCCCCGAGUGACGCGUGUCACUAAAAUGGCAGGCUCUAGUAGCUGAAUGCUUGUUGCCUCUGAGAGUGACUACAUCUGUCCCCAUUCAGCACUUUCAAAUUCCCUAUUUCUUCUAUGUGAAAUUUAAAAAAAAAAAAGGUAGAGCAAGGUACUUUCCUGUCUCAUUUUGACAAAUGCAUCUCAUGUAACAAAAACUUGCCUCACCUUCAAUAAAUAGCACUGGCCAUUUGACGUCUGUGGCAGAAGACAGAUAGCGCCAAGUGUGUGUUAUCACACACGAGUUUCAACUGUAUGAGAGAUUUCUCCAAGUAAAAAUUCAAGAGUUUUGCACACAUCAGUGUAUUUGUAAAGUAGAUGGAAUUGUUACGGAUAAUCUUAAUUAUAUAUUUUUAAAAAUCUUAAUAUUUUUUAAACUUGUUACUACAGUAUUUCAAUAAAGAUUUUACUUUUUUCAUCACUCA